AGUGAACGCUGGCGGUAGGCCUAACACAUGCAAGUCGAACGGCAGCACAGUAAGAGCUUGCUCUUACGGGUGGCGAGUGGCGGACGGGUGAGGAAUACAUCGGAAUCUACUUUUUCGUGGGGGAUAACGUGGGGAAACUUACGCUAAUACCGCAUACGACCUACGGGUGAAAGCAGGGGAUCUUCGGACCUUGCGCGAUUGAAUGAGCCGAUGUCGGAUUAGCUAGUUGGCGGGGUAAAGGCCCACCAAGGCGACGAUCCGUAGCUGGUCUGAGAGGAUGAUCAGCCACACUGGAACUGAGACACGGUCCAGACUCCUACGGGAGGCAGCACUGGGGAAUAUUGGACAAUGGGCGCAAGCCUGAUCCAGCCAUACCGCGUGGGUGAAGAAGGCCUUCGGGUUGUAAAGCCCUUUUGUUGGGAAAGAAAAGCAGCAGGUUAAUACCCCGCUGUUCUGACGGUACCCAAAGAAUAAGCACCGGCUAACUUCGUG
rnacentral:rRNA from 1 species